rnacentral:hammerhead_ribozyme from 1 species
AUCCAGCUGAUGAGUCCCAAAUUGGACGAAAUGAUGCGCAUCAAACUGGAU